rnacentral:lncRNA from 1 species
CAUACUAGACUACUAAGAUCUGAAAUCUAAUUUCGUAUGCAAUCACAUCAACAUGCAAUUUUGACAAAAUAAUUUAUGUCGUGAACAUAUCUUUGAUCUUAUCAAUAAUUAGAUUUGAUGCAUCAUAUACAUCAUAUCAUAUCUAAAAUAUAUCUUAUACUAAUUAUAAAAUAUUAAUUUUAGAUCUGAUAUCAUCUAAAAAAUUAAUUAGAUGUA